AACGAACGCUGGCGGCAGGCCUAAUACAUGCAAGUCGAACGCUCCAGCAAUGGAGAGUGGCAGACGGGUGAGUAACGCGUGGGAACCUUCCCAGUGGUACGGAAUAGCUCAGGGAAACUUGAGGUAAUACCGUAUACGCCCCAAGGGGGAAAGAUUUAUCGCCAUUGGAUGGGCCCGCGUCGGAUUGGCUAGUUGGUGGGGUAAUGGCCUACCAAGGCGACGAUCCGUAGCUGGUCUGAGAGGAUGAUCAGCCACACUGGGACUGAGACACGGCCCAGACUCCUACGGGAGGCAGCAGUAGGGAAUAUUGGACAAUGGGCGAAAGCCUGAUCCAGCCAUGCCGCGUGAGUGACGAAGGCCUUCGGGUUGUAAAGCUCUUUUGGCGGGGACGAUAAUGACGGUACCCGCAGAAUAAGCUCCGGCUAACUUCGUGCCAGCAGCCGCGGUAACAC
rnacentral:rRNA from 1 species